UCUCCGUUGGUGAACCAGCGGAGGGAUCAUUACAGAGUUGCAAAACUCCCAAACCCUUGUGAACGUUACCUAUCCCGUUGCUUCGGCGGGCGGCCCGGGCCCCGCGCCCGGCGCCCCCCGGCCCCCCGUGGGCGCCCGCCGGAGGUAAACCAAACCUUUGAAUUGCAUGGCCUCUCUGAGUCUUCUGUACUGAAUAAGUCAAAACUUUCAACAACGGAUCUCUUGGUUCUG
rnacentral:misc_RNA from 1 species